GACGAACGCUGGCGGCGUGCUUAACACAUGCAAGUCGAACGGAAAGGCCCUGCUUUUGUGGGGUGCUCGAGUGGCGAACGGGUGAGUAACACGUGAGUAACCUGCCCUUUACUUUGGGAUAACUUCAGGAAACUGGGGCUAAUACCUGAUAGGAGCUCCUGCUGCAUGGUGGGGUUUGGAAAGUUUCGGCGGUUGGGGAUGGACUCGCGGCUUAUCAGCUUGUUGGUGGGGUAGUGGCUUACCAAGGCUUUGACGGGUAGCCGGCCUGAGAGGGUGACCGGCCACAUUGGGACUGAGAUACGGCCCAGACUCCUACGGGAGGCAGCAGUGGGGAAUAUUGCACAAUGGGCGGAAGCCUGAUGAAGCAACGCCGCGUGCGGGAUGACGGCCUUCGGGUUGUAAACCGCUUUCGCCUGUGACGAAGCGUGAGUGACGGUAAUGGGUAAAGAAGCACCGGCUAACUACGUG
rnacentral:rRNA from 1 species